GAUCAUGGCUCAGGAUGAACGCUAGCUACAGGCUUAACACAUGCAAGUCGAGGGGCAGCGGGAAGCCAGCUUGUUGACUUUGCCGGCGACCGGCGCACGGGUGAGUAACACGUAUCCAACCUUCCCGUUACUCUGGAAUAGCCUUUCGAAAGAAAGAUUAAUACCGGAUAGUAUCGAGAGAUUGCAUGAUUACCCGAUUAAAGAUUCAUCGGUAACGGAUGGGGAUGCGUUCCAUUAGGCAG
rnacentral:rRNA from 1 species